GAUGAACGCUGGCGGCGUGCCUAACACAUGCAAGUCGAGCGAACGGACGAGAAGCUUGCUUCUCUGAUGUUAGCGGCGGACGGGAGAGUCACACGUGGAUAACCUACCUAUAAGACUGGGAUAACUUCGGGAAACCGUAGCUUAUACCGGAUAAUAUUUUGCACCGCAUGGUUCAAAAGUGAAAGACGGUCUUGCUGUCACUAAUAGAUGGAUACGCGCUGAAUUAGCUAGUUGGUAAGGUAACGGCUUACCAAGGCAACGAUGCAUAGCCGACCUGAGGGGGUGAUCGGCCACACGGGAGCUGAGACACGGUCCAGACUCCGACGGGAGGCAGCAGUAGGGAAUCUUCCGCAAGGGGCGAAAGCCUGACGGAGCAACGCCGCGUGAGUGAUGAAGGUCUGCGGAUCGUAAACUCUGUUAUUAGGGAAGAACAUAUGUGUAAGUAACUGUGCACAUCUUGACGGUACCUAAUCAGAAAGCCACGGCUAACUACGUG
rnacentral:rRNA from 1 species